GUAUCUGUGAGUUAAUGUUAAUAAACAUUGGAGUUUAUCAAGUAUACAAAGAAAAAGACGUCUGUUGUUGCUGGAAAAGUGAAGGAGAGCUGAACUCCUGACCAGUAACAUAUGGAGCUGAUCACCUGCUUGCAUUAACCACAGUCCAUAGAGAAAAUCAACAAUUUUACAUCACAGCACACGAGGAGUCGUUGAUCCACUGCUGCGUCGGUAAGCCGUCGGAAGACAAGUCCCCCAUAAUGUGGCUGUGUGAACAGAUUCCGGUCCCUACAACAUAUGGAAUACCAGGAAGCCGGCGAAUCAGUGUCUUUGUCACCAGAGAGG